rnacentral:rRNA from 1 species
AUGAACGCUGGCGGCGUGCUUCACCCAUGCAAGUCGCACGGGAAACCUUUUAAUGAAGCUUCGGCAGAUUUAGCUGGUUUCUAGUGGCGGACGGGUGAGUAACGCGUGGGUAACCUGCCUUAUACAGGGGGAUAACAGUCAGAAAUGACUGCUAAUACCGCAUAAGCGCACAGGACCGCAUGGUCCGGUGUGAAAAACUCCGGUGGUAUAAGAUGGACCCGCGUUGGAUUAGCUUGUUGGUGGGGUAACGGCUCACCAAGGCGACGAUCCAUAGCCGGCCUGAGAGGGUGAACGGCCACAUUGGGACUGAGACACGGCCCAGACUCCUACGGGAGGCAGCAGUGGGGAAUAUUGCACAAUGGGGGAAACCCUGAUGCAGCGACGCCGCGUGAAGGAAGAAGUAUCUCGGUAUGUAAACUUCUAUCAGCAGGGAAGAUAGUGACGGUACCUGACUAAGAAGCCCCGGCUAACUACGUG